rnacentral:lncRNA from 1 species
AAUAGAUUUCAAGUAAUGAUCUUUUCAGUUGGUGUCCAAGUGCAAUGAGUAGUAGUGGUAUCAUAGCUCAAAAUGAAAGACAACGAAGUUUAGUUCUUACCAUCAUGCAGGUCCCUGCACGGACAUUGCAGACGGGAUAUUCCUGGGGGCAGCAGCUAUCAUGAUCUUCACAGCAGGUGGCAGCCUCAAGUGGGCAGCAUCCCCAUUGAAAGCAAUACUUAGCAUACUCAAAGAUGCAGCAGCAGGUGCUGCUCUCAGGACAUGCGUAGUAGUUAUCACAGACAGUUGGGGGCUUUAUUGGAGAGGGAGGAGACGGGCCAGGGUUGGGCGGGUUUUGGCCUUUUUUGAUAGGGUAAGAGGCUUCCAUAGCAAUUCCACACUUCCCUGUCGCACUAGUAGCAAGAUCACGCUCCAUCCUGAUAUAUCCUUCCUCUCCCCAGCUGGCACCCCAUGAGUUCUUUACAAUCCAGUAAUCCACACCAUUUUCUGUGCCAUAUCCAACAGCAGUAACACCAUGGUCCAGUGCUGUCCCAC